GACGAACGCUGGCGGCGUGCCUAAUACAUGCAAGUAGAACGCUGAAGAGAGGAGCUUGCUCUUCUUGGAUGAGUUGCGAACGGGUGAGUAACGCGUAGGUAACCUGCCUUGUAGCGGGGGAUAACUAUUGGAAACGAUAGCUAAUACCGCAUAACAAUGGAUGACACAUGUCAUUUAUUUGAAAGGGGCAAUUGCUCCACUACAAGAUGGACCUGCGUUGUAUUAGCUAGUAGGUGAGGUAAUGGCUCACCUAGGCGACGAUACAUAGCCGACCUGAGAGGGUGAUCGGCCACACUGGGACUGAGACACGGCCCAGACUCCUACGGGAGGCAGCAGUAGGGAAUCUUCGGCAAUGGGGGCAACCCUGACCGAGCAACGCCGCGGGAGUGAAGAAGGGUUUCGGAUCGUAAAGCUCUGUUGUAAGUCAAGAACGGGUGUGAGAGUGGAAAGUUCACACUGUGACGGUAGCUUACCAGAAAGGGACGGCUAACUACGUG
rnacentral:rRNA from 1 species